rnacentral:miRNA from 1 species
UAGAGACCACCUAAGUUUGUUCUGGGUAUAAGCUUUUGUGUGCAUGUACACUUCUUCAGAUAUGCACACGAAAGCUUAUACCCAGAACAAACUUAGUUGGUCUCUA